rnacentral:rRNA from 1 species
UUUCGAAUCAUUCCCAAUGGGCGAAAGCCUGAGGGUGCAAUACCGCGUGGGGGAUGAAGGUUCUAGGAUUGUAAACUCCUGUCGUCAGGGACAAAACCUUUGAUUUUAAUAGAAUCGAAGCUGAUUCAACCUGAAGAGGAAGAGGUGGCUAACUCUGUGCCAGCAGCCGCGGUGAUACAGAGACCUCAAGCGUUACUCGGAUUCACUGGGCGUAAAGGGUACGUAGGUGGUAUGGUGUGUUAGACGUGAAAUUCCGGAGCUUAACUCCGGCGCUGCGUUUAAAACUACCGUACUAGAGUAUUGUAGAGGAGAGCGGAAUUUCUGGUGUAGCGGUAAAAUGCGUAGAUAUCAGAAAGAACACCAAAGGCGAAGGCAGCUCUCUGGGCAAUCACUGACACUGAGGUACGAAGGCGUGGGGAUCAAAAA